AGAACCUAUAGAAUGAAUGGCCAUGAAUGAAUCAAUGGCCUGGGCAUUAUAUUCAGUAGACUAGAUCUCAGAAAGGAAAAAGGAGCAGCAUAAAAUACGGCCUUGGUCCAACAUUUUGACCACAGAGCAAAGUUAAAGAGGACCAGAGGAAACAUCUCCUUCAGUGGUGGAAGUAGUUUCAGCAGACACAAGAUAACCAAAAGUAUGACAUGCUGGGGACAUGAAAGACAUUUUAAAGGUCUCUGAGACUUGAUCAAUGACCACUUUCUUGGAGAGCCCCACACGGUGUAAUUUAUGCAAAUCCUGUGAAGCGGAGUCAUCUAUCUGCUCAGACAUGCAGAAAUCUUUCAGGAGAAGGGUGGGAGAUUUUUGGAGGAAAAGAAGUACCAGUGGCCAGGAAAGGAAUUACCUUAAGAAGGUAAUAUGUUGAUGGGAGGAGCAGAUGCCCUGGAGUAAAACUGUUUUCCAGAAGUUUCCUGUCCUAGUGUCCAACUGGAUAAUGAUGAGCAAUCCUUGAACUCCAUCAUGUGCCUCGUGGAAUAGAGUGUAUUGUAAAAAUGCAGCUCAGCAAAUGUCUCUCUUCAAAAAGUGGCUUUAAAACCUAGGACAUAUUUAGCCUACUCAGGGAAAAGAAACAAAAUAAAGCAUUCUAUAGCAGCCUUAUGACCCAUUGCUAAAGGAACCCAAAUCCACCAGCACAAGACACAGGAGUCAUUAUGAGGCAAACAGCAGUUAACCUGUGAGCUCUGAAGUCCUCUAGAGGCUGUGUGUGUGCAGUUGCCAUGGGCUGUGGAUGACCCAGGGUGUUGAGUGCCUGUUCAUUGCUCAACCUCUCAUCCUACAUCUCAUCAGUAAUGGAAUAAGUAGGCGAAAUCCUAUCAUCAAAAAUAAAACUCCUAGCCAGAGGGUCAGAACUAGAGGUGGUGGAGUGAACGCCGCACCAGGCAAUGGAAGAAGCACUGGCCUAGACCAAACUUAAGCGUGCACCACCAUCACCUGGAGGGCUUGUUCCAACACGGAUGGCUGGACCCACCCCCAGAAUUUCAGAUUUAUUAGGUCUGCACUGGGCCCUGAGAAUGUUUAUUUAAAACAAAUUCCUGGAUGCUACUGGUUCAGUUGCCACACUCUGAGACCCGCUGGCCUUGAGCUUAGAAGAUGUGGGUUUGAUUCCUGGAUUCCACAGUUUACUAGCUGUGAGUUAGAGAAUUUAAAUUACUUACCUGAGUCUUGGUUUCUUAUUUGCAAACUGAACUGUAAACUAUCUGUUCUACCCAUUUUAUAAGACUUUUGUAAGGAUAAAAUAAAAGAAUACAUAUGCAA
ensembl:lincRNA